CCUACGGGAGGCAGCAGUAGGGAAUAUUGGGCAAUGGAGGCAACUCUGACCCAGCCAUGCCGCGUGAACGAAGAAGGCGCUAUGCGUCGUAAAGUUCUUUUAGAGGGGGCGAAAACACUUGAUUCAUCAAGUACUGACGGUACCUUCGGAAUAAGCACCGGCUAACUCUGUGCCAGCAGCCGCGGUAAUACAGAGGGUGCAAGCGUUAUCCGGAAUCACUGGGUUUAAAGGGUGCGUAGGCGGGAUUAUAAGUCAGAGGUGAAAUCUCGUCGCUUAACGACGGAAUUGCCUUUGAUACUGUUUUUCUUGAAAUUUGUUGAGGUUGGCGGAAUGAGACAUGUAGCGGUGAGAUGCUUAGAUAUGUCUUAGAACACCGAUUGCGAAGGCAGCUGACUGGACAAUAUUUGACGCUGAGGCACGAAAGCGUGGGGAUCAAACAGGAUUAGAUACCCUGGUAGUCCACGCCCUAAACGAUGUUACUUGCUGUUUGUUUUCGGAAUGAGUGGCGAAGCGAAAGCGAUAAGUAAACCACCUGGGGAGUACGCCCGCAAGGGUGAAACUUCAAAGGAAUUGACGGCUUGNGAGNGCGAGACGACGACGAGGAGGAGG
rnacentral:rRNA from 1 species